rnacentral:rRNA from 1 species
UUAAGAAUCUUGCACAAUGGGCGCAAGCCUGAUGCAGCGACGCCGCGUGGAUGAUGAAGGCCUUCGGGUUGUAAAGUCCGGUAAGCAGGGAAGAAUAAGCAACGGGUAAUAUUCGUUGUGAUGACGGUACCUGCCUAAAGCCCCGGCUAACUACGUGCCAGCAGCCGCGGUAAUACGUAUGGGGCAAGCGUUGUUCGGAAUUAUUGGGCGUAAAGGGCGUCUAGGCGGGGGAUUAAGUUAGAUGUGAAAGCUAUGGGCUCAACCCAUAAAUUGCAUCUAAGACCGGUUCUCUUGAGUCCGGGAGAGGAGAGCGGAAUUCCAGGUGUAGCGGUGAAAUGCGUAGAUAUCUGGAAGAACACCAGUGGCGAAGGCGGCUCUCUGGCCUAGGACUGACGCUGAAGCGCGAAAGCGUGGGGAGCGAACAG